rnacentral:misc_RNA from 1 species
AUAACACAAGAUUAGAACCCAGAAAAAUGGCAUACCCUGUUGUGGACUUGCGGUCAUCAAGACUGGAAGCCCAAUUAGCAUAUGAAUAAGCAUGAAUUUGCUGGGUAGAAGAUUUUGUUAUUUGUAAACCAUAAUUUGGAGUAGCAUGAAGGUAACACAAAAUUCUUUUGACCAUAAACCAGUGUUGUUUUGAGGGACUGUGAACAAACUGAGACACUUUAUUUACUGCAAAUGAUAUGUUAGUUCUUGUAAAAGAUAAAUACUGCAAUCCACCAACAGUAGUGCUAUAUAAGCUAUGAUCCUUAGCUGGGUCACUGCCGUGGAUGCAGAGUCUAUCGUCAGAAGUUGCUGGGGUUGCAAUCCCAUUGCAUUCUUGCAUGCGAGCCUUGGUCAACAAAUAGGAGAUGUAUUUUGUUUGAGAUAAAUGAAUACCUAUUUUAGUUGGUGUCACUUCCACGCCUAGAAAGUAGUCUAGGGAACCAAGAUCUUUCAAUAUAAACUCCUUCUGUGAAGAGGCGACUAGACUUUGUAAAUGGUGAGGGGAAUUGCCAGUGAGUAAUAUAUCAUCCACAUAGACCAAACAAAAGGCUUUGUAUGUAUCACUAUGCCAAUAAAACAGGGACAAAUUGGCAGUUGACAUCUUAAACCCAUGCUUCACUAACGCAGAUGCAAGGCAUUUGUACCAUUGUCUAGGUGCUUAACGGAGACCAUACAAGGAGCGUUUCAGCUUGCAGAUAAAAUUUGGCUUAUCUAGAUCCAUGAAGCCCGGUGGUUUUUCCAUGAAAACUUGAUCAUCCAGCUCACUGUGUAGGUAUGCAUUGGAGACAUCCA